rnacentral:rRNA from 1 species
UACGAAGGGGGCUAGCGUUGUUCGGAAUCACUGGGCGUAAAGCGCGCGUAGGCGGACAUACAAGUCAGAGGUGAAAUCCCAGGGCUCAACCCUGGAACUGCCUUUGAAACUGUAUGUCUGGAGUAUCGGAGGGGACAGUGGAAUUCCUAGUGUAGAGGUGAAAUUCGUAGAUACUAGGAGGAACACCAGUGGCGAAGGCG